CAGUCACUUUGCAAAGGCAGCCUGGGUAAGUGACACAAGAAAACGACAAGGAGUUGUUUAAACCCUAGUCAACCCCUUUUGCGGCUGACAGAUGAGAAAGCAGGUACCAUGAACCUAAUAAUGCCUGGUUCUAGAAUUACUCUCUAUGAUAGCAGUAAGAAAAGGUCCUGUUCUGUCAACUAUAAAAGCAAGAUUGUGAGUCAUGCAGCAAAUGGGACAGCAGAAGCCACCCCCGGGUAAGCCCCAAACAAUCACUGUCACAUUGGAGGCACUCACUUUAAAUAUAGCCCUGCACCCCAGGAUGCUCACCAGUGGUGACAGUCAAAUUGUGGACACUCUUUUGGGAAACUGGCCUGAGUCUCAGACUCUACAUAGCAUCUGAAAAAAGGAUCACAAGGCACAAGAGCCAGCAGCUUCCACGCAGUUCCAGAAAGGUAUGUGUCCAAUUACAUGGCUCCCUGCUGGACAUCCCAUAUGGGCUCCACACGAACAGUCCCCUCAUUCCAUCCAGCCACACCACUAGGGGCCCAGCAGGCACUCCAACCAUUCACAUGAGGAAGGUAUAACAAAGGGUACAUGUGACCCCAGACCAGUGUAAAGCAAAGUGGUGAAGAAAGGCAGUAGGGCAUGGCACCAUUACUAUCCACAUGGAAAGAACACCAUGGGAUGGCACUGUUGAAGCCUAAAGCCCCUGUAGCUGGAGGCCACCUGGCAAGAGAUGUGGCCCAAGGUAGGAGGACAAAGCCACUGCUAAAGCACGGCACAGGAGUGCUGGGGCACGGGUACACCUAACAUCACUCUCCCUGCCUCCUGUUGGCUAAACAGGCUGGAAGCCAGAAGGAAGGCCAGCGGACACAGACCCAAGUCCAGUGUCCCCAUCCCACCAGGGAGCCACACAAAUACUAGGGAUGCUCUGAUUUCCUACCUGAAUGAAUGUUCCCUUCUGCCUGGGACCUCUGUCCCCAGGACUUGGCCAUUUGAUCCCCCCUUUCCUCACUACUGGGGUGUCUAACUACACCCCUAGCAUUUUAAAAACAUUUUUGACACAGAGUUUCACUAAGCUGCUUAGGUUGGACUUGAACUGAAGAUCUUUCCACCUCAGCCUUCCAGAGUGCUGGGAUUACAGUGCGUGCCACCAUGCCCAGCAAGUCUGUUCAGAGAGGAGACACAGAGCAUGAGAAAUGCUACUGCUGCGGGGGCUGGAAAAGAACAGCAGCUUCAUCCAGACGCAAAGGUGACACUGUCCAUGCACAAGAACAGUGUCAGGGGCGUGAGGUGCUCUGCUGUCACAUCUCUGGAGACCACUCCCAUGAUAAGGCAAGGAGGAGGCCAUGUGAUGUUCACAAGUCUGAAGGCCACAGAAGCACACAUGCAAACUGCUCGAGCCACAGAACCUUCCAUCUAGAGCAGGCCCAGCUGGCGGCUCACUGCCGGCUGCCUCUACUCACAGCUGUUUCUAACUAGGCUAUUUUGUUCUGCUAUGUGGAUGUUCAAAAAUGUAUUUAACGAUCUGCCUUGGGAACAGACAACAAUCUAAACGUUCUAGCAACUUGAUUUUAACCCAAAUGCCAUGACCCUUGUAGACUAUUCGACACACCUUCAAAAAGAUGGAGCAAGGGUCAGCGGGGAAGGAAAAGUUUACAGCAAGCCAGUUCCAUGAGCUUUUGCUCACAACCAAAGAGGAGAUUAUUUCCAACUUGCUGUACAAGGAAAAAGUUUUCUAUGUGAUAUCCAUGCUUCAGUAGUUGUAAUAUUUUUUUUAAAUGUUCUUUUGAUGGUUCAGUGCCAACAACUGAAGCAAAACAGAAUGGAAUUUUUAAAAUGAGAAGAAAAAUGUCUUGCAUUUGAGAAGGGCUCCCCUGGUGUCGCAGGCAAGGCUGCCUUUUGGGCAGGACAGCCGGAUGCGAUGAGGUGGCUGACUUGGGAGCCACUGUCUCCUGUGGUCUGCAAGAAUCCUCCCACUACACCCCGCAAGCAAGCCUGAGACACGACUGACCUCCCAAGACAGCCAAUGUGGGAAAUGGCAGAGACGGCAGCAAAGAGCACAAACAUCCUGGCUUUGGAUCCUGGCAAGAUGAAUACUUAAGGAAAAGGGGCCUAUACACGAGUGGAAUGCUGUUUAUCCUUAAAAAAUAAAACCUGCAACAUGCAACAACACGGAUGAGCCUUAAGAACAUCACGCUAAGUGAAAUAAACCAGUUUCAGGACAAAUACUACAUGAGUCCACUUAGAUGAGGAAUCUACAAUCGUGAAAUGAAUAGAAUCAGAAGGAUGCAGGCAUCCUUCCACUGCAGUGGAAGCGGGAGGCCGAAGGGGAACUACCACUCCAUAGGCAGAAAAUGUCAGUCAGGACUGAAGCCAAGUUUCUGACUCUGAGGAUAGAGAUUUUCAGAGAGACUCGUCAUUUUUACCAGGCAGAAAACCCUAUGUGCAGCCGACAAGGAAGCUGCAGCCCAGAAAUGUGCCUGCCACGACCUCAGAGCUGGGAGGAAGAGGAGCUGGACUCCAGCCAGCCAUGCCAUCCCCAGGCUGCACCCUGACCAUCAGGCAUCCUGCCUUAGCAACACAGAGGGCGCAGACCAAACAUCUGUGUCCUCUCAAAAUUUAUACAUCAAAACCCUAAUCCCAUGUGACAGAACUUAGAGGUGGGGCUUUAGGAAGUAAUUAAGUCCCAGAUGACCAAUGACCCAAAAGGCCAGAGGGCUGCCCUGGCUCUUCCACAGAACCAUGCUGACACCCCAAUGUUGGGCACCAGCCCCCAGAACCACGAGAGAUGUAAGUUAUAGAAGCUGCCGGUUUCCACAGAAGAGCCAGCUCACAGUUCUCUGUUGCAGUCAACUCACAGUGACCAGCACAGAGUACUCAAAGUGGUCCAGCCAAGACCCAGCAGAAUGCACCAUUCACUAACAGCUCAAACAUCUAACCAGAAAACUAACACACAGUAGAUAGAACAUCUUGCACUUUGUUUUCUUUUUUUUGUUUUUCAUGGUACUAGGGAUUGAA